GAUGGACGCUAGCGAUAGGCUUAACACAUGCAAGUCGAGGGGCAGCAUGGUCUUAGCUUGCUAAGACUGAUGGCGACCGGCGCACGGGUGCGUAACGCGUAUGCAACUUGCCUCACAGAGGGGGAUAACCCGUCGAAAGACGGACUAAUACCGCGUACACUUGGGAUAGGGCAUCCUGACCCAAGGAAAUGAAAUUCGCUGUGAGAUAGGCAUGCGUCCCAUUAGCUAGUUGGUGAGGUAACGGCUCACCAAGGCGACGAUGGGUAGGGGAACUGAGAGGUUGAACCCCCGCACUGGUACUGAGACACGGACCAGACUCCUACGGGAGGCAGCAGUGAGGAAUAUUGGUCAAUGGGCGAGAGCCUGAACCAGCCAAGUCGCGUGAAGGAUGACUGUCUUAUGGAUUGUAAACUUCUUUUAUACGGGAAUAACAAGAGCCACGUGUGGCUCCCUGCAUGUACCGUAUGAAUAAGCAUCGGCUAACUCCGUG
rnacentral:rRNA from 1 species